UACAGGGGGGGCAAGCGUUGUUCGGAAUUACUGGGCGUAAAGAGCUCGUAGGUGGUUUGUCGCGUUGUUCGUGAAAACUCACAGCUUAACUGUGGGCGUGCGGGCGAUACGGGCAGACUUGAGUACUGCAGGGGAGACUGGAAUUCCUGGUGUAGCGGUGGAAUGCGCAGAUAUCAGGAGGAACACCGGUGGCGAAGGCGGGUCUCUGGGCAGUAACUGACGCUGAGGAGCGAAAGCGUGGGGAGCGAACAGG
rnacentral:rRNA from 1 species